AUCCUUCUGUAUGCGUGCUGAGAUUUCGUCAGCAAUCAACCCGCUGGCAUUGGCUGAUGAAACUCCGUAAAUAAGCGAAGUG
rnacentral:pre_miRNA from 1 species